rnacentral:rRNA from 1 species
AGAGUUUGAUUCUGGCUCAGGAUGAACGCUAGCGGGAGGCUUAACACAUGCAAGUCGAGGGGCAUCACGAGGUAGCAAUACUUUGGUGGCGACCGGCGCACGGGUGAGUAACGCGUAUGCAACCUACCCUGUACAGGGGAUAGCCGAAGAAAUUCGGAUUAAUACCCCAUAAAGAUAUCGAGAGGCAUCUUUUGAUAUUUAAAGUUUCGACGGUACGGGAUGGGCAUGCGUAACAUUAGCUAGUUGGUAGGGUAACGGCCUACCAAGGCGACGAUGUUUAGGGGUCCUGAGAGGGUGAUCCCCCACACCGGUACUGAGACACGGACCAGACUCCUACGGGAGGCAGCAGUGAGGAAUAUUGGUCAAUGGGCGUAAGCCUGAACCAGCCAUCCCGCGUGAAGGAAGAAGGCGCUAUGCGUUGUAAACUUCUUUUCCAGAGGAAUAAAAUUUUGUACGAGUACGGAACUGAAGGUACUCUGGGAAUAAGCAUCGGCUAACUCCGUGCCAGCAGCCGCGGUAAUACGGAGGAUGCGAGCGUUAUCCGGAUUUAUUGGGUUUAAAGGGUGCGUAGGCGGAUUAAUAAGUCAGUGGUGAAAACCUUCAGCUUAACUGGAGACUUGCCAUUGAUACUGUUAGUCUUGAGUACGGUCAAGGUAGGCGGAAUGUGUAAUGUAGCGGUGAAAUGCUUAGAUAUUACACAGAACACCGAUUGCGAAGGCAGCUUACUGGGCCAUUACUGACGCUGAUGCACGAAAGCGUGGGGAGCGAACAGGAUUAGAUACCCUGGUAGUCCACGCCGUAAACGAUGAUCACUCGCUGUUGGCGAUACACAGUCAGCGGCUAAGCAAGAGCAUUAAGUGAUCCACCUGGGGAGUACGGCCGCAAGGCUGAAACUCAAAGGAAUUGACGGGGGCCCGCACAAGCGGAGGAACAUGUGGUUUAAUUCGAUGAUACGCGAGGAACCUUACCUGGGCUUAAAUGUAGAGUGCAUGAGGUAGAAAUACUUCUUUCCUUCGGGACUCUUUGCAAGGUGCUGCAUGGUUGUCGUCAGCUCGUGCCGUGAGGUGUCGGGUUAAGUCCCAUAACGAGCGCAACCCUUAUCGUUAGUUGCCAGCGGGUCAUGCCGGGAACUCUAACGAAACUGCCGGUGUAAACCGUGAGGAAGGUGGGGAUGACGUCAAAUCAGCACGGCCCUUAUGUCCAGGGCUACACACGUGUUACAAUGGCCGGUACAGAGGGCAGCUACCUGGAGACAGGAUGCGAAUCUCCAAAGCCGGUCUCAGUCCGGAUCGGAGUCUGCAACUCGACUCCGUGAAGCUGGAUUCGCUAGUAAUCGCGCAUCAGCCAUGGCGCGGUGAAUACGUUCCCGGGCCUUGUACACACCGCCCGUCAAGCCAUGGAAGUUGGGGGUACCUGAAGUCCGUAACCGUAAGGAGCGGCCUAGGGUAAAACUAGUGACUGGGGCUAAGUCGUAACAAGGUAACCA